UCAAUAUGAUCAAAUAUCCAAAAUUGAGCAGGAUCUAACGGUGGACGAAGAAGGAAACCGCCAGCGAUCAUGACUGACCCGUAGACAGGUUUUCCUUGAAAUGUUGCGAGGGUUAUAUCCCUCACUAAACUAGAGCCUUCAAAUCCCAACAGUUCGAUGUUAGAGGGUGGUGAGGAGCAUAAUAUAUUGAAACCCUAACUCAAUUCAACGGUGAAAUACAUAGAUAUAGCCGUUUGUGAUUCUGCUCUCAAGGUAUGAGGCUUGGUAUGGUGCUAUGCGAGAUGAAAUUCAAGUCUUACGCUCUAACAACACCUGGUCCUUGGAUUCUUUACAUCCUUCAAUGAAUGUUAUUGGCAGUUGGUGGGUGUAUAGGAUAAAACGCUAUGUGGAUGGCAACAUUGAGCAAUAUAAGGCAGGAUUAGUUGCUAAAGGUUUUACUCUGCAAGAAAACAUUGAUUACUCUAAGACUUUCAGUCCUGUUAUUAAGUAAGCGACCAUCAAAUUAGUCUUAUUAAUUUCAUCGUAAGUUAAACAACUCCUAUCACUCAAUGACAUGAAGUAGAAACCUUUAAACAAUGCUAGAUUUGACAGUAAUACUUGUAUUUUAUCUUGUUUUAGUUACACAAAAUGAUUAUAAGAUAUUUUGAGAUAAACAAUGCUAGAUUGCUAAA